UUCUUCACACAUUCCAAUCAACUUUAAUUUUCUUCUCUGUUCUCUCUCCGUCCCUCCCUCCCUUGACCCUUUUCUUCUCGAUCUGGAGCAAGAAGCAGAAACAACUCGAGUUUCAUCCUCGGUCUCAAUCCAUCGUCUCUUGCUUCCUGAAGAUGUUUCGGCGAGGCCGAUCCCCAUAUCAAGUCACUGUUCUCUUGCAUCAAGCAACCAGAAGAAGAAGAGGCUGACUAGCUCUCUGUCAAAAUUUCACAGGUUUGUAGAGAAAACAACAACCAUGGGUCUAGAAGAAUGCUAUUCACAUCGAUAUUUACUUUAAAGUCAGUGCAAGAGAAUGAUAACUAUAUAUGCUGCAAUGAGAGAAAAGCCCAAAGAUUUUGCAAGUGAAAGCAUAGCAAGAGCUUAAGUUGGUUUGGGUCAAACUGAGAUUUAAGUUGAAAUUUGCUUUGAAUGUGGUAGGCACAUAUGUGCGCCAUGAUUGAACUAUUGUUGCCAUUGCUGAAGAAAGCUACCCCUGAUACACCAGAGUAACAAGCCUCCACAAAGAAGGUUGAACAUGGUAUAUGCAAAAGUAUGGAACAACUGCAAGUUGGAGACCAGUGGAGUGGAGCGGGUCAGCCUAGUUUUUCAACUUUUGGUCUUCCUUUUGGGUACUCUUAUGAUGUAGUGGAACUAAAUGAUGAAACAAUUGUGAUGAUUUCUUAAUGAAACUAGCAGUAUUAUGUCUC